ensembl:lncRNA
CUUGUUGGAGAUCUCUAUGUAGCUGAGGUCUUCUAAGAUUGUUGUAACACAAACCAUGAUUUUCUCUUCUGAAGUUGGUACCCACUUGUGGAGUGUUCUCCAUUUUGGAAGGUGUGGUUCCCCCACCCUGUGCUGCUGCUGCCCAGGAUACCCUUGCUGCUUGAGAUCCCAUCCAAUUAAAUGCCAUCCCCUGACCCCACGGACAAUACCUGCUCCUGCUAGUUGCAGCUAUAAAGACCUUAAUUGUUGCUGCGCUGCUCUCUUUGCUCAGCCGGUGCUUUGGGAUCCAUGUGCUUUCUGCUCUCCAGUCUCUGUUAUCCUGUAUUGGGUAUGCGUUCUUCCCCCAGGUCUGCUCAUAGCAAAUGGUGCUGCUUGCUCCUGUGGGCAGGUUGAGCAUUCUAGGGAGUAAAAGCUGUUGCUUUCCUUGCAUUCAGCACAUUGCACUCAGCUGUGGGGUGCAGUGCAGGAGCCAGGGGCUGCUCUGCUGCUCCUGCUGGGGGGUGUCUGUGGUCAAUGGGAGCUCUCACCAACUCUUAAUGCAACACUUCCUUUAGUUAGGUUUCGUAUUAUUAAGGCAUUUUUAUGUUUGAUUGUUUGUGUGUUGUGGUGGUUUGGGUUGGGUUUUUUGUUUGCGUAAAAACAUAAGUCUGUUCUGCAGUGCAAAGCAUGAGAUAGAGGCAGAGUUUUCCCAGUGGUUUUUGGCCACAGAGACUGCAGAUCAUGUUUCCUCUUACAGAGCUGUAGGGAUGUGGAUGCCCCUGCACUGCAGGACAGAGGCAGUGCCCCAGCAUCACUCCUUCCCCCCCAGGCUGUGCCCUGUAGCACAGUCAGUAUAUUGAUCUGGGUGAGGUGGGUUGGGUGCUGGAGGAAGUGUUGCCUCUUAUCUUUACUGAUAAAAAAAAAAAAAAAAAGUUUCUAGAGAUACCUGGUUACUACAGCAUAUUUGGAUUUCCAGAAGUUUCUGAUAAAGUCCUCACCAAACAUUCUCUGUGAAGUAACAGUGCUGUAGGAUGUAUGGAGAGAACAUUUGUUAUCUUUUGUUUCUACUUAAUAUAUUCAGUAUACAUUGUUCACAGAUGUUAGGAAAAAUUCAGCUCCAAUAAGCUUGCUCAGUUGUCUUUUAUCCCAGCAAGAGACUGAAGAGAGUCUUAAUCUUUCUUUAUUUGAAUAAAGGGAGAGUCCAUGCGGCCAUACCCCUGUGGGGUCUCAAAGUUCUGGGGAGCACAGCCCCUCUGUUGUCCCUGUGCCCUGACACUAACGAGCCCUUCUCCCUUUCUUUACCGGCUGAGCUACUCAGGAUUCACAUUCUCCUCGAUUCACCAGAGUUUGUUGCUUUGCCUAACUAGAACCAUAUUUGUAUCCUGUAAAUUCUAUCACUCUUUGUUUUGCCCAGCAAACAAGAUUUACAUACAGGUGCUAAGCUAGCAUCUCCUGCCAUGUAUUUACAAGAUAAGUUUGCUUAACUAGAUCCUUGGGACUGAAACUCUUCUUUUCAGCUUUUUCUUUAUCUUGUUUUGUAGGGACUCCCUGUCCUUCCUUUGUUCUUCCCAAAUUGUAUUUUGCAAGGACACUUUAUCCUUGUUUCUCUCUCAAUAGAUAACCUGGGAAGCUCAGUAAGUAGUGGGGACACAAAGCCUGCAGAUGAUUCAAACCUAUACUGAAAAACUUCCAUUGCUAGUGGGCUUCAUCACUUUCUCUCUUGAUACUCAGUUGUGUGAGGUCCUUCUUUCAGGCCUUUGUAGUCAGCAUUAAAUGAUCAGAUAUAAAUUCACUGAUGAAGUUCAUACUGCUGAAACAAAAGGAAGAGGGUUACAACGAACUGUUCACUAUGCAUAACUAGGUAUCAGCUAUUUCUGCAACAAGCAAAUGAAAAUGUCAUCACUGCAAAUAUCUGAUAUCGAAUCAGGUCUUGGAGACAGCAAAAAGCAAAGUGAAUGCUCAGAGUUUGAGGCAGCACUGUGUGGCUUGGCCUCUGCCUGCUCUGUGCAGCCACGAUCCUGCCAAGCAGUGUGUCUGGAAAAUGUGGUGGUGAACUUCACAAAGGACAAAACCAAACGUCCUUCAGCGCAAGGAAGAGGCGUCUAUGCAGAAGAUAAUGUACUGGAAGAGGGAAGGAAAACAAUUGAGAUAUAUUCUUCACUGCAUCUUGCAUCACAUGAACAAAGCAGCCCAGCAGUGGCAUUUCCUGAAGCAGUCUCUGCUGCUUGCCUGGAAAAUCACUGUUAGAAAUACAGAUUCCUCCUCUUCUGGGCAAGGCUGAUAAACAAUCUCAGUGCGGAUUCCUUUUCCCUCAUUAGGCCUUGUUCCUUCUGCUACAUUAUUUAUGACUUAUCUGAAAGAAUAAUAAUUGUGGGAUUGUUCAGUGAAUUAUGUGUAGUGAGUAAUGCACAUUUACUGUUUCCUUUGUACUUCCCUCUUGCUUCACUGGAAGAGCAAGUUGUUGAUUGCAUUUAAAAUGGAAGAAAUGUUGUGCAGCAGCACAGCGCAUUGAGGCCUAUUGGCUGAGCAUGUCCCGAUGUCACUGCAG